UACGUAGGGGCCUAGCGUUGUCCGGAUUUAUUGGGCGUAAAGAGCUCGUAGGCGGUUCGGCAAGUCGGAUGUGAAAUCUCCACGCUCAACGUGGAGGGGCCAUUCGAAACUGCCGUGACUUGAGUCCGGUAGGGGGGUGUGGAAUUCCUGGUGUAGCGGUGAAAUGCGCAGAUAUCAGGAAGAACACCCGUGGCGAAGGCGGCUCUCUGGGACGGUACUGACGCUGAGACGCGAAAGCGUGGGGAGCGAACAGG
rnacentral:rRNA from 1 species